rnacentral:lncRNA from 1 species
UUAAAUUGAGCCUAUCAAACGUGUUUAACCAGCCAACGUGUUUAAACUACGUGUUUAACCGACAUGUUUAACCAACCAACCAACCAACCAACCAACCAAUAAAUAAAUCAAUGCAUGUUUCCGUUUCAUGUGUUAAAUACGGGAUCCAAGAUGUUUUUUUUUCGCUUGUUUAAAUUGAGCCUAUCAAACGUGUUUAACCAGCCAACGUGUUUAACCAACGUGUUAAACCAACAUGUUUAACCAAUGUGUUUAACCAACCAACCAAUCAAUCACUUAAUGUAUGUUUCCGUGUCAUGCGUUUAAUACGGGAUGCAAGGUCUCUUGAGGUCUUUUUCCCCUUGUUCUAAGUGACCCUAUCAAACGUGUUUAAUCAACCAACCCAACAACCAACCAACCAACCAAUCAAUCAACCAACUAAUCAAUCAAUCAAUAUGUAUGACUGUUUAUU